rnacentral:lncRNA from 1 species
UGUACGAGGUAUAUAAAAUAAGCUAAUGUGCCUUACCACAUUGGCCUUGGUCCUUGAUGGGGGUAACGGCUCCUUUAUUCCUCCAAUCAAUGGAGGUUGGCACUGCAGUGACAUUUUCAUACCUAAAAGAAGAUGUUGAUGAUUUAAGAAUGGCAGACCUUUUGUAUCCAUUUCUAGAAGCUCUGAACUCUUCAUUAGCUAGGUCUGCAAAUUCAUUGAUGUCUAGCUUGUAAGGCUUAUUCCCAGCAUUGUUGAAGGAUUCAAUGAAUUUCACAUUCUCCUCGAAUAUAUUAAAACGUCUUUCCUUCUCUGCGUUGUCUUUAUAAACACGUCCAUACUUAGCCAUCCACAUUUCAUGCUUCUCAGUCAUGGACGCAUCCUUGAGCGAGCGUGACGAGGUUUGAGAUGUCCAGAUUCCCACUAACAAAAUUGCCACAAAAAUUGGUUUGUUUUCGAGAAUUGCAGGCAUUCUGCCAAGUGAAUAUGAUGUUGCUGUUCAGGAUAGUGAGCAAUGUGUUUGGCACACCAGUCCUUUGAGAACUAAAGGUAUUUAUACUAGUGCAGCGAUAUUUCUACAGGAUCUCUUCCAAAUAAAAUUCCCAUAUUACCUGGUGAAUCCGGCAAGUUGUGUAUGAUAUGGACAACGCAAGUUCCAUUUCUUGACGUUGCUUCUGCCUAUGAGCUCCACCUUCACCUUCUAGGUUAACUAGUUUUCAUAUUGUUGUGAGAAAUUGUAUUUGCUGUAUAUGGUGAGUUGAUUAGUCCAAUUAUUAAGCUGAAUCCUUAUUUGGUCUGUUAGGCGUUAGUGCAAGUGCUUGCAAUUUUCCUUUGUACUGUAUUAGUAAUUUGGUCGACAAACUGAGUAUAUCUCAGAAAAAGUUAUUUGCAGGGAAUCAGGAGUUCAUCAUCAAUUUACUAAUCCGUCUCAAGUGAGUGAAAGGAAGAACAGAAUCAUAAUGGAAAUGAGCAGAUGUUUGUUAAUUGAAAAUAAGUUCCCAAAAAAAUUAUAUGAUCAUCCGGCUCAAUUGGGACUUGAACUCAAAUGUUUGUUUUGGAGUUCCCUAAUUCAUUCAUGGCCAUGGCCUUUAGCAUGUCUUGGAUUGACCUCAAAUUUAACUCUAACAUUGGUGUCCUACAUUUUAUCUCUUUGACUUGUGCUGGUGCAAUUUUCUUUUAAGAAGAAUAAAUAAUUAAUUUAUUAGUUUCUAAGUGACUAAAACCAUUUUACUAUUAGAAAUGUUUUAUUCAUUCUGAAUAGACAAUUGUUCAUUCUGAGAAUUCAGUACCAAGAUUCAACAGAAAAUCCCAAACCCAUAAUGUUUUGUUAAGUCUAUAUGAGAAGCCUAAUAUGAUAUUGACAUCAUCGUUUCAUUAAGUCUUAACUCUUUAUCUUGCAUUCUUAAUUUCUUACCCUGUAAUCAACCCCAUUACUUUGGCCAACAUAUUGGUCUCAACAGUUUAUGAGUUGACCCUUCAAUCAAAAGAAAAAGCGAAAAAAUAAACAUAGGGAACCAGACACAGCAACUAUCAGUAAUUUGUAGUUUAAAUUUUUAUGAUUGGCAUGCAACUUUGAUCCUUGGCCUUGGAGUAUAUGAAUAGAAGUAAGAGUGAAAGAAGGUGUCGUCACCCAUUUCAUUACCAAAAUAAACCUUUACAUACAUACACACUGCAAGCAAGUGGAAUACAUGAGCUUACAGAACAAAAUAGUAAAAACCCCAAUAGCCUAUAUUUUUGGAGAAUUAGAUUUUUAAGAUCCAGCUAUUUAUGGUUUGUUGCCAUUUAUGCAGUUGGAUAUGAAGGCUCCAUGGCUAUUCCACAAAGGCCUUCCUUAGCAUCAAUGUCUCUUUCCAUUCUUAUGUAUCCAUCCUCACCCCAAGAACUUCCCCAUGAGUUCUUCACUAACCAAUACUUUUUACCAUCAUCACUUGUCCCAUACCCCACUGCAGUAACACCAUGGUCUAGUUCAGUUCCACAGUCUCCUGUAAACACCCCAUUUGAGUAGAAUUGGAAGGCAGAUCCACUGGCAUCAAUGGCAACAGAAACUGGAUGGUUGGCUACUGCCUUCUUUAGUGCCUCUUCGCUAUUGGCAGGCACAUCUUCAUAACCAGCAAUUUUAGCUGCAUGAUUAGAUGCCUUUCCUGUGUUGCAAGUGCCAUCCUCUCCUUUGUAAGGGUAAUUGGCUUCAGUAGUUAGGCCUCCAUUUUGUAUUAUGAAUUCAAAUGCAUCAUCCAUAAGGCCACCUUCGCACCCUUGAUCUUCACCAUUUGUAUCACAAUCAACUAAUUCUUGCUCUGAAAGAGAGAUCAACUUCCCUGUUGAAAGCUUUGUAAUCCCUUCCAUGGCUGCCACAGCAGAAAAUGCCCAGCAACAUCCUACAACAUAUUUUAGACAAGUUAGUUUAAAAUAAUAUAUUAAAGAUGUAAGAGGUAAUAAAAAAUGAGCUAGUGUGUCUUACCACAUUGGCCUUGGUCCUUGAUGGGAGUAACAGCUCCUUUAUUCCUCCAAUCAAUGGAGGUUGGCACUGCAGUGACAUUUUCAUAUCUAAAAGAAGAUGUUGUUAAUGAUUUAAGAACGGAAGACCUUUUGUAUCUAUUUCUAGAGGCUCUGAACUCUUUAUUAGUCAGGUCUGCAAAUUCAUUGAUGUCCAGCUUGUAAGGCUUAUUCGCAGCAUUGUUGAAGGACUCGAUGAACUUCACAUUCUCGCUGAAUAUAUUAAAGCGUCUCUCCAUCUCUGCGCUGUCUUUAUAAACACGUCCAUAUUUAGCCAUCCACAUUUCAUGCUUCUCAGUCAUGGUUGCAUCCUUGAGUGAGCGUGACGAGGCUUGAGAUGUCCAGAUUCCCACUAACAAAAUCGCCACAAAAAUUAGUUUGUUUUCAAGAAUUGCAGCCAUUAUCCGAUGCGAAUAUGAUAUUGCUGUUCAGGAUGGUGAUUAAUGUGUUUUGGCACACCAGUCCUCUGAGAACUAAAGGUAUUUAUACUUGUGCAGCAACCUUUCUACAGGAUUUCUUCCAAAUUGCAUUCUCAUAUUACCUGGUGAAUCCGGCAAGUUGUGUAUGAUAUGGACAACCAAAGUUCAGUUUCUUGACGUUGCUUCUUUCAUAUUAAUUACCUACUGUUUGUAUUGUUGUGAGAAAUUUUAUUUGCUGUAUACGGUGCGUUGAUUAGUCCAAUUAUCGAGCUGAAUUCUUAUUUGGUCUGUUGAGCAUUGGUGCAAGUGCUUACUUUUCUUUUUUUUUGUAUUGUAUGAUUAAUUUGGUUCAGACGGUGGAUAAGCUGCAAAUGGAACAGGGGAAGUAUGUAUAUACCUGUCAAUCAAACUCUGGCAUACUAAACAUUUUAUUAAUAAUAGACCUGCUGCAACGGAAGAUCAACAUGUUUAUGAUAUGUGUUAGCUUGAAAAGCACGAAAAAAAAAAUUUAUUCCAAUUAGCAAGGCCUGGAGGGCCAUUGAAAAGCUGCAAUUAGUUGUUUGUGGACCUAUGAGUAUUGAUGAUUAUUCAUGGUUCUCGUGGGUUCAUUUCUUAAAGCAACAAUAUGAAGUACCUGGUAUUUCUUUCAAUUUAAGUGUAUGGUUAAAAAUCAAUCCAAUUGCAGCAUUAAGACUGAGACUCAGGUCAGAUAAUGGUACUAAGUAUGUCUCAGAAAAUUUUGAAGUUAUUUGCAGGGAAUUAGGAAUUCAUUGUCAACUUACUAAUCCUUGUAUUCCUCAAUAAACUGGAGUGAGUAAGAGGAAGAACAUAAUCAUAAUGGAAAUAUGCUCCCCAUAAAAUUAUAUGUGGCGGAAUUCAUUUAACUAAUCAUUCGGCUUUAUUGGGACUUAAUAUUUUGAUGUAUCCAGCAUUUAGUCUGUUUGACUUAUGCUGGUGCAAUUCUUUUAAGACAAAUAAUUAAUUAAUUUAUUAGUUUCUAAGGGAUUGGCAGAAAUGUUUUAUUCAUUCUAAGCAUUCAGUACCAAGAUUAAUCGAAACCCACUCAGAAUUCUAUUUUAGAAAACUAAUGUGAUAUGGAAACAUCAUUGUAUUAUGUCUCAACUCUCUGACUUAGUUUACUGUGAACAGUAACCAUAAUUCCUAGGAUUUCUUACAUAGCCCUCAGCAUUUCUUACAAAGCCAAGCAUGAUCAUAAACCUAUUUGCUAUUUUUACUUAGAAGUUUAUGAUUGGCGCCUUGGAGUGUAAGUGUAGAAGUAAGAUUGAAAGAAGGAAUCACCACCAAUUUCCUUACCAAAGUAAGCCUUUAUAUACAUACAAGCUGAAAGCAAGUGCAAUACAUGAUUUUACAGAAUAAUACUCCAAAUAGCUUAUACUUAUGCAGAAUAGAAUCUUAAGGUCCAGAAAUUUAUACUUUGCUGCCAUUUUUAUGCAGUUGGAUAUGAAGGCUCCAUGGCUAUUCCACAAAGGCCUUCCUUAGCAUCAAUGUCUCUUUCCAUUCUUAUGUAUCCAUCCUCACCCCAAGAACUUCCCCAUGAGUUCUUCACUAGCCAAUAUUUUGUACCAUCAUCACUUGUCCCGUACCCCACUGCAGUAACCCCAUGGUCUAAUUCAGUUCCACAGUCUCCUGUAAACACCCCGUUUGAGUAGAAUUGGAAAGCAGAUCCACUGGCAUCAAUGGCAACAGAAACUGGAUGGUUGGCUACUGCCUUCUUCAGUGCCUCUUCGCUAUUGGCAGGCACAUCUUCAUACCCAGUAAUUUUAGCUGCAUGAUUAGAUGCCUUCCCUGUGUUGCAAGUGCCAUCCUCUCCUUUGUAAGGGUAAUUGGCUUCAGUAGUUAGGCCUCCAUUUUGUAUUAUGAAUUCAAAUGCAUCAUCCAUAAGUCCACCUUCACAACCUUGAUCUUCACCAUUUGUGUCACAAUCAACUAGUUCUUGCUCUGAAAGAGAGAUCAACUUCCCUGUUGAAAGCUUUGUUAUGCCUUCCAUGGCUGCCACAGCAGAAAAUGCCCAGCAACAUCCUACAACAUAUUUUAGACAAGUUAGUAAACAAAAUAUUAAAAAUGUACAAGGUUAUAUGAAAUAAGCUAAUGUGCUUUUACCACAUUGGCCUUGGUCCUUGAUGGGAGUAACAGCUCCUUUAUUCCUCCAAUCAAUGGAGGUUGGCACUGCAGUGACAUUUUCAUAUCUAAAAGAAGAUGUUGUUAAUGAUUUAAGAACGGAAGACCUUUUGUAUCCAUUUCUAGAGGCUCUGAACUCUUUAUUAGUUAGGUCUGCAAAUUCAUUGAUGUCCAGCUUGUAAGGCUUAUUCGCAGCAUUGUUGAAGGACUCGAUGAACUUCACAUUCUCGCUGAAUAUAUUAAAGCGUCUC